UGAGAUUCUACCUCUCAUUUAACAAAAUUGGCAAAGAUGACAAAAGAUGGAAAUUAUUCACAUUGGAGCAACCCUAAUACAAAGUGAUGAAACUGUGAAUUGGUCCAACCAUUCUGGAAAGGAAUUUAGAAUUAUGCUAAAGAAAUGACUAAAAGGCCCACAUCCUUUGACUCACAGACCACUGCUAGGUAUAUAAUGCAAAGAGAUCAAAGUUAAAGUCUAACCCUAUCUUGCCCGGAAUAAAUCAGUUUAACCUUACACUGUCUCUUACUCUCCAGGCCCUUGCCUCCUUGUCCUUUCAACAAGCACUUCAUACCAAGCCGAGCCCAUUAGCAGCUCUAUUGAUUGUAUUCACUGCUUGUUAAAUAGCCAGAACUAAGGGGGAAAAUCACCAAACUGCCAUUUUUGGAACUACUAUAAAUGUAUGUUGUCUAACCUUAGCUGACUCCUUGCAGCUACAAGACUCAUUCUACUCCUACCUAAUCUGUCUCUUGUCUGACUCUUCCCACAGUGACUAUUCCAGACCUCUUCAUCUCCUCAGCCCUCCAGUGAUAUCCUGUCCCUUCCCUUCUCGUACCCAUCCUCUCAAUUGAGGACCUCACCUGGUCAGAAGUCAGGAGCUCCCUUUUCUCCCCUCUUCCUCACCUCAAGGAACCCAGCCAUCUUCGUCCAUUGUCUUCUUUGCUCUCUUUUUGGCUAGGCCAGGUCCUCGGCACUCCCUCUUGAUCCCAUCCCCUUCCAGCUUCUUUUACCCUCACUAUUAGUCCACUCUCAAACUUUUGGGCUCUCCCAGUCUCCUUCCUUGUCGCCUAUCUUACACAUUUUUAAAAAAUCCCUUGCCAUCCUCACUAGCUCACAACCUAUAUGUCUUCUCCCUUCUUAACUAAACUUUUUGAGAACACAAUGUUCUCUUGGUACCUCCGCUCCCUCUUUUGCUCUGAACCCUCUGCAGUCUAACUUCUGACCGCAACAUCACAUCUCUUUCCAAAAUUACCAGUUGUUUGGGAUAAAAAAAAAAAACAAAACCUACCCAAAUUGACUACUACAGUGAUCAUUCAUAGAAAGCAGAAUUAUUUAUUAGAAUCUCGAGAAGUGCACCCCAUCCUGGUCUGGGAGCCAAAUUUCACAGCAGGAUAGGGCCAGAGCCUUGAAAAUGCUUACAGCUUUUAUAUAUUUCAGAUAAAGAACCUCCAAAAUCCUGCCCUCUAUAUGUUGUGAUUGG
rnacentral:lncRNA from 1 species